rnacentral:lncRNA from 1 species
CGUGGGCGAGGUUUUCAAGUCAAAGAGGAGAAACAAGUGUUCACUGUGAAAGAGACCUGAGCACAAGAGAAUCACUUGUAAUAACAACAAAUCAUAGUUAGACAUGUAUGAAUUUUUGUUUUUGAAAUUUAUGGCAGUGUAUGCAUUUUCACAACCCUACAGUGGUCUAAUUAAUACCAGUCUUAUCAAUUUUACUCUGUGUCUAUUAUAGACCUG